rnacentral:rRNA from 1 species
AUUGAACGCUGGCGGCAGGCCUAACACAUGCAAGUCGAGCGGAUGAAGGGAGCUUGCUCCUGGAUUCAGCGGCGGACGGGUGAGUAAUGCCUAGGAAUCUGCCUGGUAGUGGGGGAUAACGUCCGGAAACGGGCGCUAAUACCGCAUACGUCCUUAGGGAGAAAGUGGGGGAUCUUCGGACCUCACGCUAUCAGAUGAGCCUAGGUCGGAUUAGCUAUUUGGUGGGGUAAAGGCCUACCAAGGCGACGAUCCGUAACUGGUCUGAGAGGAUGAUCAGUCACACUGGAACUGAGACACGGUCCAGACUCCUACGGGAGGCAGCAGUGGGGAAUAUUGGACAAUGGGAGAAAGCCUGAUACAGACAUGCCGCGUGUGUGAAGAAGGGAUUCGGAUUGUAAAGCACUUUAAGUUGGGAGGAAGGGAAGGAAGUUAAUACCUUGCUGUUUUGACGUUACCAACAGAAUAAGCACCGGCUAACUUCGUG